rnacentral:rRNA from 1 species
GACGAACGCUGGCGGCGUGCCUAAUACAUGCAAGUAGAACGCUGAAGGAGGAGCUUGCUUCUCUGGAUGAGUUGCGAACGGGUGAGUAACGCGUAGGUAACCUGCCUGGUAGCGGGGGAUAACUAUUGGAAACGAUAGCUAAUACCGCAUAAUAGCAGUUGUUGCAUGACAACUGUUUGAAAGGUGCAAUUGCACCACUACCAGAUGGACCUGCGUUGUAUUAGCUAGUUGGUGGGGUAACGGCUCACCAAGGCGACGAUACAUAGCCGACCUGAGUGGGUGAUCGGCCACACUGGGACUGAGACACGGCCCAGACUCCUACGGGAGGCAGCAGUAGGGAAUCUUCGGCAAUGGACGGAAGUCUGACCGAGCAACGCCGCGUGAGUGAAGAAGGUGUUCGGAUCGUAAAGCUCUGUUGUAAGAGAAGAACGAGUGUGAGAGUGGAAAGUUCACACUGUGACGGUAUCUUACCAGAAAGGGACGGCUAACUACGUGC